rnacentral:rRNA from 1 species
UACGUAGGGUGCAAGCGUUGUCCGGAAUUAUUGGGCGUAAAGAGCUCGUAGGCGGUCUGUCGCGUCUGCUGUGAAAAUCAGGCUCAACCCUGGACCUGCAGUGGGUACGGGCAGACUAGAGUGCGGUAGGGGAGAUCGGAAUUCCUGGUGUAGCGGUGAAAUGCAGCAGAUAUCAGGAGGAACACCGGUGGCGAAGGCGGAU